CGGACGGGUGAGUAAUGUCUGGGAAACUGCCCGAUGGAGGGGGAUAACUACUGGAAACGGUAGCUAAUACCGCAUAACGUCGCAAGACCAAAGACGGGGGACCGUCGGGCCUCGCGCCAUCAGAUGAACCCAUAUGGGAUUAGCUUGUAGGUAAGGUAACGGCUUACCUAGGCGACGAUCCCUAGCUGGUCUGAGAGGAUGAUCAGCCACACUGGGACUGAGACACGGCCCAG
rnacentral:rRNA from 1 species